rnacentral:rRNA from 1 species
AUUGAACGCUGGCGGCAGGCUUAACACAUGCAAGUCGAGCGGGGUGAUGGUGCUUGCACUAUCACUUAGCGGCGGACGGGUGAGUAAUGCCUAGGAAUCUGCCUAUUAGUGGGGGACAACAUCUCGAAAGGGAUGCUAAUACCGCAUACGUCCUACGGGAGAAAGCAGGGGAUCACUUGUGACCUUGCGCUAAUAGUUGAGCCUAAGUCGGAUUAGCUAGUUGGUGGGGUAAAGGCCUACCAAGGCGACGAUCUGUAGCGGGUCUGAGAGGAUGAUCCGCCACACUGGGACUGAGACACGGCCCAGACUCCUACGGGAGGCAGCAGUGGGGAAUAUUGGACAAUGGGGGGAACCCUGAUCCAGCCAUGCCGCGUGUGUGAAGAAGGCCUUAUGGUUGUAAAGCACUUUAAGCGAGGAGGAGGCUCUUUUGGUUAAUACCCAAGAUGAGUGGACGUUACUCGCAGAAUAAGCACCGGCUAACUCUGUGCCAGCCGCCGCAGUAACAC